AGAGCAGGGAUUGUGUGUAUCGGUUUUGUGCUGCGAUCAAUGCACUCUUCCGAAAGAGUUCCCUGCAACAUUGUUUUGAGAAAAUGGGCAGUUGUGUUUCAUCUCUUGUUGAAAAUCACAACAAUCAUUUUCCCUACAUCU